GUCUUAAAUAAAAAGGAAGUGGGCAGCUUCCUGAUAAAGUUCCAUAUCAUUCACAUUUGAUUAGGUGGUUUUCGUUGUAUAAGAUAGCUGCGAAAAGAAAAAAAUAUUUCCUGUCUGCAUUUGCAUGCUAAUUGCAGACGUUUGAAGUUUAAUCCCGUAAUCAAAGAUGAAGUUUGUGAUUUUCUUUGUGAUUUUACUCGGUUUCGUAUUCACCAAUACAGAAGCCGAGGAUGAUGCGAUCAGAAGGUCUGUGAUAGGAUUCAUGCGGCAAGAUGAAAAGAGGAAUCAGAGUAUCCCCAAUUUCAAGAAUGGAAGAGUGAAGAUAUAUGAACGAUGACAUUUUUAUUUUUUUUUUAAUUAAAUGAGGAU